UGUGCCCUGUGUGGGUUGGGAGAAGUUGAGCCACAGGAGCAGAAAGCAGGCUGUUUUUCCUUGAUUCUGAAGCAUUUUGCAGGAGACAGAGUUUCCACAUUUGAGGUCACAAGGCAUCACACCACAGAACUGUCACUGGUGCAGGACUGAAUGCUGUUAUCACUGGGAGUUAGGUAAUUUUGAGAAGAAAUCUCCACACUUGGGAGUGGAUGAAGGAAACAUGAUUGAGGACAGUUCUAUUAUAGCACUAAACAUGAGGACUGUAUCAAUCAGGCCAGUAAAAUUAUGCGAACUUGACUGCACCAACUUCAAGGCCCAUACCUACAUAGUACUCUGUCAGCUCAUUUUAAAACAGAAGAGGUAUUGGGCAUGACAUUUUCAACAACAAAUAUAUGUGGCUGUGCAUUUUCUUGUCAACAGGGGAUUGGCCAAAUGUGAAUUAGAGCAUAAAUGUCAAUUCUGCAAAGAUGGACUUUUCAGAAGCAGAUUUUAUGCCUUCCUAUUAAGCAUCCACCACUGGUAGAUGACAGACAGGAUACUUAGCUACCUAAAUCACUUAUAUUCCUAAAAGUUAACUUAGAAAAUAAUUGGUGUGCUGAAAGAAAACAAUGCUUUUAGAUGGCAGAUACUCAGUGACCGAAUAGUUUGUUUUCAUUCAAAUUUUUCUUCUGUACAAGAAAAUCUACCUGUAUAGAUUGAUAUAUCAUUAUGGUUACUUUUAUAAGCUCGUUUACAUUUCAUCAUCAGAUUCAGG